UACGAAGGGGGCUAGCGUUGCUCGGAAUCACUGGGCGUAAAGCGCACGUAGGCGGCUUUCUAAGUCAGGGGUGAAAUCCUGGAGCUCAACUCCAGAACUGCCUUUGAUACUGGAAAGCUUGAGUUCGGGAGAGGUGAGUGGAACUGCGAGUGUAGAGGUGAAAUUCGUAGAUAUUCGGAAGAACACCAGUGGCGAAGGCGACUCACUGGACACAUAUUGACGCUGAGGUGCGAAAGCGUGGGGAGCAAACAGG
rnacentral:rRNA from 1 species